rnacentral:rRNA from 1 species
UACGUAGGGAGCAAGCGUUGUCCGGAAUCAUUGGGCGUAAAGCGCGCGUAGGUGGCCCCAUAAGUCCGCUGUGAAAGUCAAAGGCUCAACCUUUGAAAGCCGGUGGAUACUGUGGGACUAGAGUACGGAAGAGGCGAGUGGAAUUCCUGGUGUAGCGGUGGAAUGCGCAGAUAUCAGGAGGAACACCGGUGGCGAAGGCGGGAUCCUGGGCCAGUACUGACGCUGAGGAGCGAAAGCGUGGGGAGCAAACAGG